AGAAUGAACGUUGGCGGCGUGGAUUAGGCAUGCAAGUCGAGCGAGAACCUGUCUUCGGACAGGGGACAGCGGCGAACGGGGUAGGAAUACCUAGGUGACGUACCCCCGGGUCGGGGAUAGCGGCGGGAAACUGCCGGUAAUACCCGAUGAUCUGCCUUGAUUUUAGCUUUGGGGCAGCAAAGGUGUGAUUCCGUCCGGGGAGCGGCCGAGGCCGUAUUAGCUUGUUGGUGGGUAACGGCUCGCCAAGGCGAUGAUGGCGUAGGGGGUGUGAGAGCAUCGGCCCCCACACUGGCACUGAGACACUGG
rnacentral:rRNA from 1 species